GUGCCAGCAGCCGCGGUAAUACGGAGGGUGCGAGCGUUAAUCGGAAUUACUGGGCGUAAAGCGUGCGUAGGCGGUUAGCUAAGUCAGAUGUGAAAGCCCCGGGCUUAGCCUGGGAACUGCAUUUGAUACUGGGUAACUAGAGUUUAGUAGAGGAAAGUGGAAUUUCAGGUGUAGCGGUGAAAUGCGUAGAGAUCUGAAGGAACACCAGUGGCGAAGGCGACUUUCUGGACUAAAACUGACGCUGAGGUACGAAAGCGUGGGUAGCAAACAGGAUUAGAAACCCUGGUAGUCC
rnacentral:rRNA from 1 species